CCUUUAUGCUUUUUAUUUAUAUUAAGGUAGCACUCAAAAAAACCCAGUCAGUGUUGAGGUGUUGUCUCAGGUGGUCCUGUGCAAGCAGACAAAAACAAGACUCCUGCUCCAGAGACAUGUUUUAACUUCGUGAGGAAAAGCUCAAGUCAACUAAAAAAAAUUCCCUUCAAGGGUAUGUACCCUUGAAAUUUAAAAUACUCACACUUCCCUUAAUUCCACUAACGGUUAACUAGCAAUAGCCAGACAAAGUGUAACCUCCACUUUCCCCCACUCCAAGUGCUAGGGAAAACAGGUAAGGUUUGCAGCAUGCCCUCAAGGUCAACCUAUUGGGAGUAACCCAGGUGGGCAAGUAAAUUGUAAAGUUGAGGGACUUGACCACUAGCUCCCACUUCUCUGGAGGGGACUCUAGUAGCCAUAAAUACAGCAGAAAGACACAUCUAUUCUGUGCAUAGGGCCUACAUUUUUUUUCUUUUCUUUUUUUGGGAAGGGAGGGGUGUUUAACAGCUCAAUAAUACCAUCUUAAAAUCCACCCAGAAAUGAAUAAGCACCCAGUGCAGAUCAUCGAGCACUGUGCUUGUAGCAUGAUAGUCCAUUUACUGAACCGAUAGCUAAAUUCUGCAGCAACUUUAGUUUCCAGAUGCAAUUAAGAUGUAGCCCCAUCUGGAGGACUUUGCAGUAAUCGAAUCUGCAGGUGACAGCGCGAAGAUCCACACCCAAAAGAAACUUACAUGAUGGCUGUAUGUAGAUAGAACGCUAGCACUUUGUGAACACUUUUGGGAAGGGCAGUCUCCUCUAAUAUUCUCCACUGGCCUUUGCCAGCUUGAAAGGUCAUGGGCCUAGAGCACAGAUGGUCACACAAGUGCUCCUACCACCUCCAGAAUCUCAUGCCUCAGCUGGAAUAUUGUGUCCAAUAACAGGUGCCAUACUUCAAGAAAGAUGUGGACAAAUUGGAUACAGUACAGAUAAGUGAUACAAAAAUAAUAGAAAAACUGACCUAUGAAGAAAGAUUAAAAAAAAUGGGUAUGUUUAGUCUCAAGAAAGAAGACUGAGGGGGGACUUAAGUCUUCAAAUAUGUUAAAAGGUUGUUACAAAGAAGACUGACCAGUUCUCCAUGUCCAUUGAAGGUAGGGCAAAAAGAAAUGGGCUUAAUUUGCAGCAGGGGAGAUUAGGUUAGAUGUAAGAAACGCUUUUUAACUAUAAAAGUAGGCAAGCUCCGGAAUAGGCUUCCAAGGGGAUUAUAGAAUCUUUGUCCCUGGAGGUUUUUAAGAACAGGCUGGACCAACACUCUCCAGGAAUGAGGGGAUACUUGGUCCAGCCUCAGCACAGCAGGCUGGCCUGGGUGACCUCUCUAGCUCCCUUCCUGCCCUAUAUUGCUAUGAUUUGAUUACCCUGCCACUAUACAGGCAUUGCAGGCUGAAUUUUCACAAUCUUAUCUAUUAAAAAAGAAGCAGUUUCCUCAUACUGGGAGGUAUUUGAAUCAGCCACACAGUGAAGACAGCUUAUCCUAACCAAAAUGUCCACUGUGUGAAAUAAAUCUGCUGAGCAGAGAAGUUGCAGAAUCUAUGGUGGAGGCAAAGAACCUUCUAUUUGCCUCCUAUACACCCAUGGCAUAAAACUAAAAAUUCUGUCACAGGCAGUCAGCAAUAGGCUGAGACAUUCCCCCAGUGAUCAUCUAGGGACUGAUUUUUAAAGGUAUUUUAGUGCUAACUUUAUAUUAUUUUUUAUUAUAACUAUUUGCACUGUAAAAAUGAUAAAGGAAAUAGUUUUUUUCAGUUCACCUCAUACAAGUACUGUAGUGCAAUCUCUUUAUUUUAAAAGUGUAAUUUACAAAUGUGGAUUUUUUUUGUUACAUUGUUAUGUUUUUGAAUGUAGUUAUGUAAGUCCAAGUCCACUCAGUUCUACUUGUUCAGCCAAUUGCUAAGAAAGACAAGUUUGUUUACAUUUAUGGGAGAUAAUGCUGCCUGCUUCUUAUUUACAAUGUCACGUGAGAACCAGUGUUCACAUGGUACUUUCGUAGCUGGCAUUGCAAGGUAUUUACGUGCCAGAUAUCCUAAACAUUUGUAUGCCCCUUCGUGCACCAUUCCAGAGGACAUGCUUCCACACUAAUGAUGCUUAUUUUAAAAAAAUGCAUUAAUUAAAUUUGUGACUGAACUCCUUUGGGGAGAAUUGUAUGUCUUCUGGUCUGUUUUACCCGCAUUCUGCCAUAUAUUUCAUGUUAUAGCAGUCUCGGAUGAUGACCCAGCAUAUGUUCAUUUUAAAAAUGCUUUCACAGCAGAUCUGACAAAAUGCAAAGAAGGUACCAAUGUGCGAUUUCUAAAAAUAGCUACAACACCUGACCCAAGGUUUAAGACUCUGAAGUGCCAUCCAAAAUCUGAGAAGGAUGAGGUGUGGUGCAUGCUUUCAGAAGUCUUAAAAGAGAAACAUCCAGAUGCUACGCUACAGAACCCAAACCACAAAAAAAGAAAAUCACUUUCUGCUGGUAGCAUCUGACUCAGAUGAUAAAAAUGAACGUGGGUUGGCCCGCUCUGCUUUGGAUCGUUAUCGAGCAGAACCUGUCAUCAGCGUGGACGCAUGUCCUCUCGAAUGGUGGUUGAAGCAUAAUGGGACAUAUGAAUCUUUAGCGCAUUUGGCAUGUAAAUAUUUUGCGACGCCAGCUACCACAGUGCCACAGUAAUGUGUGUUCUCACUUUCAGGUGACAUUGUAAACAAGAAGCAGGUAGCAUUAUCUGCAAAUGUAAACAAACUUGUUAGUGUGAGCGAUUGGUUGAUGUAGGACUCAGUGGACUUGUAGGCGUUAAAAGUUUUACAUUGUUUUAUUUCUGAAUGCAGGGGUUUUUUUGUACAUAAUUCUACAUUUGUAAGUUAAACUUUCAUGAUAAAGAGAUUGCAUUACAGUACUUGUAUUAGGUGGAUUGAAAAAUGCUAUUUAUUUUUGUUUUUUACAGUGCAAAUAUUUGUCACUCAAAAUAAAUAUCAAGUGAGCACUA